GAUGAACGCUGGCGGCGUGCCUAAUACAUGCAAGUCGAGCGAACAGAUAAGGAGCUUGCUCCUUUGACGUUAGCGGCGGACGGGUGAGUAACACGUGGGUAACCUACCUAUAAGACUGGAAUAACUCCGGGAAACCGGGGCUAAUGCCGGAUAACAUUUAGAACCGCAUGGUUCUAAAGUGAAAGAUGGUUUUGCUAUCACUUAUAGAUGGACCCGCGCCGUAUUAGCUAGUUGGUAAGGUAACGGCUUACCAAGGCAACGAUACGUAGCCGACCUGAGAGGGUGAUCGGCCACACUGGAACUGGGACACGGUCCAGACUCCUACGGGAGGCAGCAGUAGGGAAUCUUCCGCAAUGGGCGGAAGCCUGACGGAGCAACGCCGCGUGAGUGAUGAAGGUCUUCGGAUCGUAAAACUCUGUUAUUAGGGAAGAACAAAUGUGUAAGUAACUGGGCACGUCUUGACGGUACCUAAUCAGAAAGCCACGGCUAACUACGUG
rnacentral:rRNA from 1 species